rnacentral:rRNA from 1 species
AGCUGGCCGGACAAGUCCGUUGGGAAAUCUGUUCGCUUAACGAGCAGGCGUCCAGCGGAAACUGUUCGGCUUGGGACCGGAAGACCUGAGGGGUACGUCCGGGGUAGGAGUGAAAUCCUGUAAUCCUGGACGGACCACCGGUGGCGAAAGCGCCUCAGGAGGACGGAUCCGACAGUGAGGGACGAAAGCUAGGGUCUCGAACCGGAUUAGAUACCCGGGUAGUCCUAGCUGUAAACGAUGCCCGCUAGGUGUGGCGCAGGCUACGAGCCUGCGCUGUGCCGUAGGGAAGCCGAGAAGCGGGCCGCCUGGGAAGUACGUCUGCAAGGAUGAAACUUAAAGGAAUUGGCGGGGGAGCACUACAACCGGAGGAGCCUGCGGUUUAAUUGGACUCAACGCCGGACAUCUCACCAGCUCCGACAGUAGUAAUGACGGUCAGGUUGAUGACUUUACCCGAUGCUACUGAGAGGAGGUGCAUGGCCGCCGUCAGCUCGUACCGUGAGGCGUCCUGUUAAGUCAGGCAACGAGCGAGACCCGCACUCCUAAUUGCCAGCAGUACCCUUUGGGUAGCUGGGUACAUUAGGUGGACUGCCGCUGCCAAAGCGGAGGAAGGAACGGGCAACGGUAGGUCAGUAUGCCCCGAAUGAGCUGGGCAACACGCGGGCUACAAUGGUCGAGACAAUGGGAUGCAACUCCGAGAGGAGGCGCUAAUCUCCUAAACUCGAUCGUAGUUCGGAUUGAGGGCUGAAACUCGCCCUCAUGAAGCUGGAUUCG